rnacentral:rRNA from 1 species
UACGAAGGGGGCUAGCGUUGCUCGGAAUCACUGGGCGUAAAGGGUGCGUAGGCGGGUCUUUAAGUCAGGGGUGAAAUCCUGGAGCUCAACUCCAGAACUGCCUUCGAUACUGUCGAUCUUGAGUCUGGGAGAGGUGAGUGGAACUCCGAGUGUAGAGGUGAAAUUCGUAGAUAUUCGGAAGAACACCAGUGGCGAAGGCGGCUCACUGGCCCGGUACUGACGCUGAGGUGCGAAAGCGUGGGGAGCAAACAGG